GCUUUGGAGAGUGAGCCUUUGUGACUCCGCACUCUUGGACAGUAGCAUCCAGCAACACAGGAGACUUUGGGGAGGGAGAGGAAAAGACACAGCCUCCCAGAAAGCCCCAAAACCCAGAAAAAAUAAAGCAUAAAGCUGCACCGUUCGGAAGAAGCGAUACUGUCUUUCCUUACAGCUACGAUGCUGCACCGCUUUCGACACAGCGUGCUUUUCCCUGCAUUUACCUGGGCGGCUGCUGCUCUUUCUGCUGCUGCUGGGGCUGCUGCAGUCUUGCUGCCUGCGCUUCACCCUGGCUUGACUGACUUGAAACUCUCUCGUCUGCACAUUGCUAAGGAAGAAGAACGAUGGAGCCGCAUUUUUUUUUUGUUGGCUCUGGAAGCAAAGGGUUGCGAUAUGUGAUGAUUUUGGGAUUUUCUUUGGUGGGGGAGAAGGAAGAGAAAAGAAGGGUGUUAAUCUAGGAUGGGGUGGGUGAAAGCUUAAAGAAAUAUUAUGUAAAGUAAUCCAGUGCUCGACAAGGGCAUCAGCAACAAGAAUCCAGCCUCUGCUGCUCCAGAGGAUUAACAUGGGGAAGCCACAGUGCUGCAGUCAGGUUUCACCUCAGUGUUGUGCUGGAGACGGAUAAAUAAGGUAUCGGUUGCAUCUGCCUGAUAAGGCAAAACCAAGGGAGAAGGAGAGAGCGAGCAAAUGCAAAUGCAAAGGAAGAAGAAACACUACGUGCCGUUUGUCUGAUUCUGUGGAUUCUCAUUGCAGAGAGGAUGGCUUGAUUAACAAAGCAAUGUAUGGACCGAGGGACUGUAAAUCGUAGCUUGAACACUCCUGGUGCUGUCAAGGAGUGAACUGAUGAGUUAGAUGGCUGCAGGAAUAUCCCCAGGGAAAACAGCAGCCACUCACUCCAUGUAUAUCUGUGUAUGUAUGUGCUUUUGUGCAUGUGUGAACAUGUAUGGAAAUGAAAGCAAGACAUUUCUGACCAAUUUACAGAGGACGUUUGUCACUUUGCUGGGUCAGACCUGAUUGCAGCUUGUAUUUUCAGCUAUAGCUCUACACCCAUUUCCUGACUGAGGUGGCACUUUGUGAAAACAGAUGGUAGGCAGUAUUCUUUUAAGAAAUGUGAAAGCGGAUCCUUUCUGCUUAACACCUUAAAGCACUGAAUCUUCUGCACUGUGCUGAGAAAAACCAUGGGGUUUCGUUUUCUCCAUCUUAAAAUCUCUAUAAACACAGCUGUAUUCAGUAUGGUGAAAAAUUCUAUACUGUAAAUAGAAAUGUGAUCAAUCUAAUCAAAAUAAAUGCAUCCCAGAUGACUUCUAGACCAGCUGGCUACCACAGGCAUCAGAUGACUAAAUCCUCAACUGAGCAUUUAUAUUCAGUGUUAUAUUUGCAUUUUUUCUUUUUCUUUUUUUUUUUUAGAUUUUAAAAAUCAGCCUCUAAUUGAAAAAGAUUCUUCAUAUAUUGCGAAAAGGCAAUGCUUACAUUUGGGAAUCAAUUUCUGUGAAAUGUAGCUGGGUGUAUUUUUUACUGCCAAACCUGCAUGGGGAAGACCGUGUUUUUAGGGCAGGUAGACUUGUCACGGUACAGGCAUUUUUCAUUUGGUAGGCAACUCGACUUGGCCAUAUCUGAACAAUGCAGAAAUAGGGGAAACAAGUGCUGCAGUCAGCUAGCAAGGCUGGGCAUGGCUGCUAGCAGCUGCAUACCGAGAAAGAGGGUUUUUUCCCUUUCCUUUUUUUCCCUUUUAUACAAAGCCAUAGACCAUAAUGUCAACCUAAAAUAUCUACGAGGGGAUUUUCCAAUAGUCAUGGUGAGCUACCCUGCAAGACGCCUGUCUGGUCCUUCCACUAUUUGUUCCCCAGCCUACAAAGGCAGCCCUCGGUGUUGGAUUAUAUUUAGCCAGCUGUUGGAUAACAUUCUUGUGCUGGGGGCAAAGGAGUCUUAUUACUCCCAAACUGUAGUUUUCUGUUUGCUUAAAGAAAAAUAACUUUGGCAAUACGGCAGGCUCUGCAAAGGAGUUUAUGCCACUGCCUAUACCUUUCUGAAAUUGUCAUGUUCUUCUAAUUCAGGCAGCUUAAAGCAAGAAAGGAGGGGGGAGGAGAGACUCUUAACUCACAGCUUCAAAGCUGCAGAGAUGAGCAAAAUGUCAGCAGCUUGUAAUUAGGAGCCCACGGUUACGUCAGUGACUGUAUCUCUCCAAGAAUAGCUAUGUGAUGUGUGCCACAAAGCAAAGGAAGACUCUCAAAACCUGGUUAACAAGCCUGGUUCAAACAAGAAAGAGCAAAAUGGAUUAAUGAAUCUGCUGUGUUCCAAAAUCAGAUGUGGAUGGAUUACAUGCACAAGGCUUGCUGAAUUCUGCAGCGGUGAAGACUGAAUUAUCAGUUUGUUAUAGGGCAAGACAUUCACCGAAAGUGCAAAUCUUUCAGAAAAAAAUGCAGACGAACAAUCUAUCCUUGAAAAUGUCUUUCCAAGCUCUGUCCUGUACAGGCAGCUACAUGGCAUGGAGGCAUGCUCUGAAGGAAGAGACCAGCAAGCUAGCAAGAAGGUGUUUAGAGGAAGGGUAUAAUUAAACAUAAAGCAAGCUUGAUGAAAUUCUGUUCUGGCAUUACAGAUUUGAUACCAAAAUACCACCCCAGAGAAGACUGGCUGGGCUCUAGUAUGGUUUAUAUUAAGGCUUCUCUGGUUAAGAGCAAGGGGGGAGGGACAGGGCUUCGUGCAGCAUCUUGCAGCCAUGCAGAAAUCCCCAGAGCUGUGGGAAGUAGGAGGGAUGGGCGCAGCUAUGAGCUCUUAAAGACACAUGCCCAUAUCCCACCAAGGGGCUUUCUGACCUCUGCAAUUAUUUUUAGGUCGUGAAGGCAACUCGGCAGUGCUUAAGCAGUGAGAUUGCAGGGGGUGCUUAAUCUGCUGCGACUGGCUUUUCUCUGUGUCAUGGCUGGAAUAUGUUUACAAUACCCCUCCACCACAUCCAGUGUGCAUGUCUGUCAGUGCUCCUGUCGCCCAAUUGCUGGAAGUCUGGUGUGGUUCCCUGCUCCCAGCAGAAGUCACUUGCAGUUAAGCUCUGUUGUAGUUGCUCUUUAAUUUACCAGGAUAGGUAGAUUGUCUUACGCAAACGGUGGGGUGGGUGGUUUUUGGUUGUGGUUGUUUUUUUUGACUGUGAAUACAAAUUUGUAGGAGGAGGUGACUCUGUAUAUUAAACCAAUAGCUCUUUGAAUUGUGUGUAGUAUAAUUUAAAUAUACUCACUUUAAUUAAUAGAAGGUUACAAAAGCUGGCAUUGUCUGGGGCUGUUUAAUUUACAUCUUAGGUUUAGUCAAUGAGCAUAACCUGACUGAUUAGAAUAGUGUAUUCUGCGCAGCCAACAGGGUGGAAGGCAUUAUUUUGUUUGUGUUAGUUCAAACAGCUGGUCAUUAAUGCAGGCCCCAUCUCCAGAGUGAAGUGCUAGUGGACAUGAAUGGCUGCCUGAUUAAUGCUGCCCCUCGAUGGGUCCUUCAUCCAGCAGCGAUGCUCGUAGCAGAAUAAUGCAGCGAGAUUUGAUUGCACUCUAACAGGGUAGUAUGUCAUUGUGUCACCGAGAGAUCGAGGUUAUUAUGGGGCAGGGCAGACAGACGGGACAGUGGGGUUACUAGACCGUGGCAUUUUUAGAAAUGCAGGGCUGACCUACUUAGAGUUAUUCUUGCUGGCUGGCAGCUGCCUGGUGCGGGGCUCCCCCGGAUAGGCUGCGGCUGUUGCUAGGGGGAAUUAGCAUGAAUUUUUCCACAUACAGACUCAGUGAUUGAAUGAUAAAAGCUGACUGGAAUUAAAGAGAUUCGGUUCAGUAUUAUGCAGAUUUAUCUCCUCAUUUUUUUUCUCUCUGUCAAGUGCAUAAAAAGGGGCAGAAAACAGUUUGUUUCCAUUUAUUUUUGACCUAUUUUUUUUUCCAGGGAAGGGCAGAAGUGUUGUGAAUUUUUGAUCAAAAUUUAAUAUUUAGGCCAUUGAAAUGAUAUGAUAGUGGGCAUACAUCUUUAAUAUAUGGAAGGUUCAAAUGCUAUCUCUCUGGUAGGAAAUGAAAUGAAUAAUAUAUUUUGUGUUCUGGUCAGACUGCUGCCUCUUUCUAUCUGAAGCUGUGUCAGAUUCCCUCAUCUGGAAAGGGGAAACAUAUAACAGGUUUUAUUGCAUAACAUUACUCUUGUCUAUUUUUAGCUAUCUGUACUUAAAAAAAAUUAGUCCUGUUUACGUUAGGGGAUGAAAUUAAUCCCCAGGCUAUGCCUCAUGUAUGUGGAGACAGAUGCCCCAGGUAGCUAUGGUGUUGUGGGUCAUGUUCAUCUGAAAAGGUGUUUACAUACUGCAGACUUAUCAGCACUGCAUACCUAGCAGUGUACUGAUGCCUGGCAUGUAAUCACAUCAAUAAGAGAAUGUCCUCUUUCUGAGUCUUUUUCAGGCUUUGGUUUGAAAUUGGAUUCUCUAGAUGGCCUUCCUUUAUUUAUCUGCCUAAAAGAGUGUUAUCUUUUCAGAGAACUCUGUGCUCCCUCAGGAAGCAAAUGAAAACAAUACUCAGUGAAGAAUCCUUUGAUGUAAUUAUGAAUAUUUCCUUUGUUAUUAUCACUAAUUAUAGAAGAUCUUUGUUUAAAUUGCUAUCCCUCUCUGUAUGAUCUUUUACCAUAUGAAGAAGUUCUAAUUUAGCGCUUAUAAUUUUAAGUCAAAUUUUCAUGGCAACACAUCAUGACAUCACACUCAAAGAACUGGGAAUUUUCAAGAUAAAAGACGGUGGGGAUGGGGGAGAAGGACCCACAUGUCUUUGGAAUUGCAAAAUAAAAAAUAUGACUCGGUGAUGAAAAUUAGUGAACUCAUUUUUGUCUGAAACAGUUUAAUUUGAAAUAUUAUAUGAAUGAGAUACCUUUUAGAGAGGUGUGAACAGCCUGCAUGUCUGUCUGGACAGCCAGCAGCCUCCCUGGAACCAGUGUUCUCCUGCUUUGGCCCCUGGAGUUUCUUGGAAGGCAAUGAAGAGGAAGAAACUGAAAUGAAGACAUGAAUUUGAAUGCAUUUUGUGACUGAGGCAAAGCAUUCAGUUCCUACAGAGUUGAAUUUCCAAUGACUCUUUCCUGGCAUUGAUUCAUUACUGAAACUCAUGUCACUUCCUUCUCUGCUCCUUCCUGAUGGUCUCAUGGAGUGACAGAUUUUUAGAGAAGUGAGUGAAGAGGGGCACUAUUUGAUGCCCAGUAACUGUGUUUGCCUUGCCUGUCCCUGAAGGUGACUGCAGAAAGUUUUGGGUCCACUUGCCUCAGCAAUAUUCUCAUGAUCAAAGUCUGAUCUGCUGCUCCACUUUUCUUCUGGAUGCUGCAGGAUGCUAGGCAACAGACCUUUGUCUGCAAUUGUCUGUUGAAGUUCUUGCCCUUGUUGGUGGUAGCCAGUUGCAGCUUCAUCCAAUUCACCUGGGAUAUUAGCUGAAUUGGGCUUCAGGAAAUCAAAAUAAGCAUGCAAUACUAUAUUAAAUCAUCCAUUUUCUAAUAAAAAAUAUUUGAGUAUUAUCUUAUUUUGGUAUAUUCACACUAAGAAAGAGGGAGUUCAAAGAAAAGCAACAGAUAAGAUAAAGCAUAUACUCUGUGGAAAAGAGUCGUAUGCUUGUUGUUUAUUUGGGAUUUCAACACAGUGAAUGUUUAUAACAAACAUCAAAUCAGACAGUUUAACAAACCAUCAAGUGGUAUAUUAAAUAUAAAAAAUAUAAUGCGCAAGAAAUUGUAUUCAACAUUAAGCUACUUCUCUGAAAGUCCCUUUAUUGGGAAUUAUUCCAAAUAAAUGAAUGUAUGAAUGAUGUGAUCAUAAUGCUUUGGGUAAUUUUAAGUAGCAGAAAUAUGGAGUUAAUGAAACAAAACCAAAAUCUGAGGUUUGUGUAUGUGUGUAUAAUGCAUAGGAAACAGGACACCAGAGGAUUUAGAAAUAUAUGUCUGUGUUGAAAAUGUUGUCAAUUGUGCACAUUCUUUUGAAAAAACCAUGUUAAUGAUUUUCUGAUGAUCUCCUCUGAGGUUUCUGUUGUUGCUACAACUUACACCUCCUACCUUGAAGUUUCUUACCUACAAAAGAUUGUGUUGUAUUGUUCAACAUUCUUGUACCAUGACCUCUCCUGUGAGCUAUGAAAGACCUAUUAUGCUAGGGUAGCUAAAUGAGUGCUGAUUUACUGGGAGCAUAUGCAGGCAGUAAUUUUUAUUUUUUUUCUCAGCAAAAUACCCAGAAUCCUGCCUCCAUUUGCAGCUGUGACGUGGCUGCGCUGCGUGGUGUAUUCCUGACUUCAAAGUCUUGGCAGGUCAUGGAUUUGUUGGGCAUUUUGUGAUUUUAUUGCAACUUUAUGUUUUUCUGAAAAUGAUCAGAGGAUACAAGAUAUAGAGCAACCCAUCUAGAUUCCCAUGAAGGGAUUACAGCCAGAAGGAGUGAGUUGACUCCCAGCCUUUACCUCCUGCCAGGGCCAUACAGAUCAGUUAUUCUGCAGCAGAUGUGUUUUAGUUCCGAUUUCAAACCAAAAGUAAAAGGAAUUGUAUCAUAUUUCUUAAAAGACUGGCAGUUAGCACAUUCCUUUUAUUGCAAUGCAGUAGGGAAUACAAAUGUUUUACAAAUUAAAAUAAUCCUUACAAGAUUUUUUUCUGUGAUCCAUUAACACGGAAACAAAUUCUGUAACAAACUACCAUCAGCCAGGAGCAGCAUUAUUGUGACUCCCACAUUCAUGCUUUUCCUGCAUCUAUGCACAUCCAUGUGUGUGCCUAUGCACUCAGAAAUGCUACAUACAUGUAGCAUGUGAAUGUGUAUACAAGACAGAAGCAGAACUUACACAAAUACAGCACUGAGGCAUAUAUAUAGUGUGUACUCACAGUGUAAUACCCAAACCUGUGCCUCUAGAUAUAUGAUGGUGGUUUGUUUAUGAUGAAAAGUGACUUGACAUAAAAUUUAUGCAGUUCUUGUGU